GGCGAGGGGGGUCAGGGGGCACCAGGGACCAGGCCUCAGCCACCCCGAGGGGCUCCUACCCCCCUGCUCCGUGGUACGGGCUCCCGGGGGGGGGGAUCGGUGCGUGGCGGGGAGCUGCGUGCACGGGCAGGGCCCAUCGCUGACACAGCCGGCUGCACGGGGCUGUGCACAGGAGUGCACGUGUGUGUGCUGAGGUGUGUGUCCAUAUCCCGGUGCGCAGGAGAGCUGCUGUGCGUGUCCCGGUGCACGUGUGUGUGCUGAGGUGUGUGUCCAUAUCCCGGUGCGCAGGAGAGCUGCUGUGCAUGUCCCGGUGCACGUGUGUGUGCUGAGGUAUGUGUCCAUAUCCCAGUGCGCAGGAGAGCUGGUGUGUGUGUCCUGGUGCACGUGUGUGUGCUGAGGUAUGUGUCCAUAUCCCGGUGCGCAGGAGAGCUGGUGUGUGUGUCCUGGUGCACGUGUGUGUGCUGAGGUGUGUGUCUGUUUCCCAGUGCACAUGGGUGUGCACAACCAGGCUGGUGUGUGUGUCCCGGUGCACAGGGGUGUGUGCAGGAGUGCACGUAUGUGUGCUGAGGUGUGUAUCUGUUUCCUGGUGCGCAGGAGAGCUAGUGUGUGUGUCUCGGUGCACGGGAGUGUUCACAGGAGUGCACGCGUCUGUGCUGAGGUGUGUGUUUGUGUCCCGGUGCACAGGAGUGUGCACAGGAGGUCUGGCGUGUUUGUCCCAGUGCACAGGGGUGUGGACAGGAGUGCACACGAGUGUGCUGAGGUGCAUGUCCGUGUCCCAGUGCACGGGGGUGUGCGCAGGAGUGCACACGAGUGUGCUGAGGUGUGUGUCCCUGUCCUGGUGCACAGGGGUCUGCACAGGAGGGCUGGCGUGUGUCCUCCGGUGCAGGGCGUGUGCGCCGGAGCUGGAGGGAUUAGGAAACACACGCGGAUCCCCCCCACGGCUGCUGCGGGUCGCUGGGAGGCGCCGGGACCCCCAGGACCUUGCCCCCACGCGCGGGAUCGGGGGUC